UCUCCGUAGGUGAACCUGCGGAAGGAUCAUUAAAAAAAAGAGAAACGUCCCGUUUUUUUCAUAAGAAUGGGUUCUAUUCCCUUAAACCGUGUCUACAUUCCUUUGUUGCUUUGGCAGGCCGCCUUCGGGCGUCGGCUCCGGCUGAUAGUGUCUGCCAGAGGACCCAAACUCUAUGUUUAGUGAUGUCUGAGUACUAUAUAAUAUUUAAAACUUUCAACAACGGAUCUCUUGGUUCUG
rnacentral:misc_RNA from 1 species